rnacentral:ncRNA from 1 species
AUUAUCCGCUAGGGGGACCUUUUUAGAAGGUUGAGAUUAAAGUAGGACUUUAAGACCCUUGGAACCUGAUCUGGUUUAUACCAGCGUAGGGAAGUGGAGUUGCGGGAUC